AGUGAACGCUGGCGGUAGGCCUAACACAUGCAAGUCGAACGGCAGCACAGUAAGAGCUUGCUCUUACGGGUGGCGAGUGGCGGACGGGUGAGGAAUACAUCGGAAUCUACUUUUUCGUGGGGGAUAACGUAGGGAAACUUACGCUAAUACCGCAUACGACUUACGGGUGAAAGCAGGGGAUCUUCGGACCUUGCGCGAUUGAAUGAGCCGAUGUCGGAUUAGCUAGUUGGCGGGGUAAAGGCCCACCAAGGCGACGAUCCGUAGCUGGUCUGAGAGGAUGAUCAGCCACACUGGAACUGAGACACGGUCCAGACUCCUACGGGAGGCAGCAGUGGGGAAUAUUGGACAAUGGGCGCAAGCCUGAUCCAGCCAUACCGCGUGGGUGAAGAAGGCCUUCGGGUUGUAAAGCCCUUUUGUUGGGAAAGAAAAGCAGCAGGCUAAUACCCCGCUGUUCUGACGGUACCCAAAGAAUAAGCACCGGCUAACUUCGUG
rnacentral:rRNA from 1 species